rnacentral:lncRNA from 1 species
AAAAACUCCAACCUAAACUACCCCAUUUAUGUAGAAAUAUUAAAAGUAAUGAAAAACUAUUCCUUAACCUUCUUUAAUAAUAAGUUGUUUUGCUCCUGCAGUGAUCUCUCCUGUCAUCAAUAUCAAACAUCCCACAUUAUGGCCAAAACAUAAAAUAUCAGAACGAACAGGCAAUGAAUUCCAUAUUCAGUGGAUUUAGAAAUACCUAGGAAAUAUCACUUAUUUGGGUCAUUUUUAUGAUCUACAAGUUAGAUUAACUUUCUUGUUUAGCUGCAGUGCAUUUUUGCUUAGAAGAGUAUAUCGAUCAUACAUUUCAUGGGACCCACAACUUGUAUCAAUUUUCAAGCACACAUUUCGUCAUCUUUUGUCGAAAUCUACUAAAAAUCUGGUUUUUAGCAAAACCAAACGGGGGAGAGAUAAGGUUGUUUAAAUGUUCCUUAGUUUUGACAGAUCAAAAAUGGCUGCAGUAUAACCAAGAAAAGAUGCAUACAAUUAUUAAAAAAAAAAGAAAAAAACCUAGUUAUGUUUCAGGAAAGUUUGAUUUCCUUAUUAAUAAGACAUGUUACGUUGCUUACAAAUUAAAGUCUUACAACCUUAAACUUUCAAGUAGGAUGUUUCCACUUUGUAUCAUAGGCCACCCCAUUAUAAGGUCAUUCUCAUUGCUUUACAGUAUAUUAAGGUUACAUUUGACACUCCGAAUUAGACCUUAUAAGGAAUUUAGUAAAAAUUACAAUGGAUUGUAAGAGGUGGAUGAAAUUAUGGUGGAUUAAGGUAGAUAAUAUUUAUUGUUCUUAUUCAAAAAAAUGUCAUUUGGAAAAUUAUAAAUGAUUCAUCCAUGAAACGUGUUGAUAAUAAUGGGGAGUAGUUAUGAAUAUUUGGUUAAUUUUCAAUUUUUUUAAACUGAAUUUACAAAUUUUAUCCAAACAGAAGCAUAGUAUCAUUGAUAAUAUUUGGAAUGAAACAUCAAGGAAUACCAUCCUCGUCCAUCAUAACCUAUCUAUCUAAUAACAUCUAUUACAGUUUUAUACUAAUUUUUUUUAGGUCUAUCUGGUGCGCCAAAUACACCCUAAAUACAUAUAUCAGGCAUACAGCUGAAAACAUCUAUGUUUCAUCCAUAUCUGAACUAAAAUGUAUUUUCCAUACAUGUCCUUUACUCAUUCUCAACAAAAUAGUAUACAUAUUGGAGUAUAAAAUCACUUCUAUUUCCCCUUUAGAAAAAUAGUAUUUCCUUUAGUUUAGCCUCUGUUCAUCAAACAUAAAAAGUUACUUUUUCUAUGUUGUCAAAGUCGUACAUUACAUUCACAACUGCUACAUAUCUAUCAAUUAAAGAUUUAUUGGAAUCCAAUACUAUUCCCUCGAAAAAGUUACUAAUAAUUUUAGCUGAAUACUUCUAUAAUUUUUUAUUUGAUUCAUAUGUUAUGGGGGGAAAAAAAAAGAAAAAAAA